rnacentral:rRNA from 1 species
GAUGAACGCUGGCGGCGUGCUAAACACAUGCAAGUCGAACGGUGAACACGGAGCUUGCUCUGUGGGAUCAGUGGCGAACGGGUGAGUAACACGUGAGCAACCUGCCCCUGACUCUGGGAUAAGCGCUGGAAACGGCGUCUAAUACUGGAUACGAUUAGCGGCCGCAUGGUCAGUUACUGGAAAGAUUUUUUGGUUGGGGAUGGGCUCGCGGCCUAUCAGCGUGUUGGUGAGGUAAUGGCUCACCAAGGCGUCGACGGGUAGCCGGCCUGAGAGGGUGACCGGCCAAACUGGGACUGAGCAACGGCCCAGACUCCAACGGGAGGCAGCAGUGGGGAAUAUUGCACAAUGGGCGAAAGCCUGAUGCAGCAACGCCGCGUGAGGGAUGACGGAUUUCGGGUUGUAAACCUCUUUUAGCAGGGAAGAAGCGAAAGUGACGGUACCUGCAGAAAAAGCACCGGCUAACUACGUGCCAGCCGCCGCCGUAA